rnacentral:rRNA from 1 species
GACGAACCGAGCGAACGUUGUUCGGAAUCACUGGGCUUAAAGGGCGCGUAGGCGGGCUGUCAAGUCUGGGGUGAAAUCCCGCGGCUCAACCGUGGAACUGCCUCAGAUACUGACGGUCUCGAGGGAGGUAGGGGCGAGCGGAACUGAUGGUGGAGCGGUGAAAUGCGUAGAUAUCAGGAGGAACACCUGUGGCGAAAGCGGCUCACUGGACCACAACUGACGCUGAUGCACGAAAGCUAGGGGAGCAAACAGG